GGCGAACGCUGGCGGCGUGCUUAACACAUGCAAGUCGAACGGUGAAGCCCUUCGGGGUGGAUCAGUGGCGAACGGGUGAGUAACACGUGAGCAACCUGCCCCUGGCUCUGGGACAACCACUGGAAACGGUGGCUAAUACCGGAUACGACCCGCCUCGGCAUCGAGUGUGGGUGGAAAGUUUUUCGGCUGGGGAUGGGCUCGCGGCCUAUCAGCUUGUUGGUGAGGUGAAGGCUCACCAAGGCGACGACGGGUAGCCGGCCUGAGAGGGCGACCGGCCACACUGGGACUGAGACACGGCCCAGACUCCUACGGGAGGCAGCAGUGGGGAAUAUUGCACAAUGGGCGAAAGCCUGAUGCAGCGACGCCGCGUGAGGGAUGACGGCCUUCGGGUUGUAAACCUCUUUCAGCUCCGAAGAAGCGAAAGUGACGGUAGGAGCAGAAGAAGCACCGGCUAACUACGUG
rnacentral:rRNA from 1 species